rnacentral:rRNA from 1 species
GACGAACCGUGCGAACGUUGUUCGGAAUCACUGGGCUUAAAGGGCGCGUAGGCGGGCUGUCAAGUCUGGGGUGAAAUCCCACGGCUCAACCGUGGAACUGCCUUAGAUACUGACGGCCUCGAGGGAGAUAGGGGCGAGCGGAACUGUGAGUGGAGCGGUGAAAUGCGUUGAUAUUCACAGGAACUCCGGUGGCGAAGGCGGCUCGCUGGAUCUUUUCUGACGCUGAGGCGCGAAAGCUAGGGGAGCAAACAGG